rnacentral:lncRNA from 10 species
AACUAGUUCAUUUGAAGCCUAGAGGGGAUAAUGGGCUAAUUGGUUCAUACCUCCUAGCACCUACUCUUUCAUUCUUUUUUUUUUUUUUUUUUGAGACGGGGUCUCUGUCGCCCAGGCUGGAGUGCAGUGGCGCCAUCUCGGCUCACUGCAAGCUCCGCCUCCCGAGUUCACGCCAUUCUCCUGCCUCAGCCUCCCGAGUAGCUGGGACUACAGGCGCCCGCCAGCACGCCUGGCUAAUUUUGGGGGGUUUUUUUGUAUUUUUAGUAGAGACGGGGUUUCACCAUGUUAGCCAGGAUGGUCCUGACCUCAUGAUCUGCCUGACCUCGUGAUCUGCCCACCUCGGCCUCCCAAAGUGCUGGGAUUACAAGUGAGCCACCGCGCCUAGCCCUACUCUUUCAUUCUUGAUGAUACUCACAAACAGCUUUCAGUUCAGAUCCUGACUAUAGCAUUGACCUUAUUGACACCUUUCUCCUUGGUCUGAAUGGUGGUUUAAGUAAGAAGCUUUGCAUCGUACAAUUUCCUCUCUAUGAAGAUAGAAGUGGAGUAGCUUAAUCCAGGGAGCCUGGCUGUUCCUGUUAGGUCUCUGCAUAUUGUUCUAUGGCUGAUUGCAGAGAAUCAAGUUGGGGACUCUAAUACCCUAGAAGAUUCUGAAGCCGCCAGAGAAGAGCUCCAGUCUGUGAAGGACUAUAUGGAUCAGGCCCUCUCCAACCCCCACUGAACAGUGAUAUCAGAAAGAAAGAAUCCUUUUGUUGUUAUUGCUAAGUUACUAUAAUGGGGCUUGUUUGUUACAGCAGUUGACUUAUCCUGACUAAUACAAACCUCUUCUUCACUUCAUC